UGGGGAAUUUUGGACAAUGGGCGCAAGCCUGAUCCAGCCAUUCCGCGUGCAGGACGAAGGCCUUCGGGUUGUAAACUGCUUUUGUACGGAACGAAAAGCCCUUCUCUAAUACAGAGGGGUCAUGACGGUACCGUAAGAAUAAGCACCGGCUAACUACGUGCCAGCAGCCGCGGUAAUACGUAGGGUGCAAGUGUUAAUCGGAAUUACUGGGCGUAAAGCGUGCGCAGGCGGUUUGUUAAGAUAGGCGUGAAAUCCCCGGGCUCAACCUGGGAACUGCGCUUAUGACUGGCAAGCUAGAGUACGGCAGAGGGGGGUGGAAUUCCACGUGUAGCAGUGAAAUGCGUAGAUAUGCGGAGGAACACCGAUGGCGAAGGCAAUCCCCUGGACCUGUACUGACGCUCAUGCACGAAAGCGUGGGGAGCAAACA
rnacentral:rRNA from 1 species